AUUAAACUGAAGAGUUUGAUCCUGGCUCAGAUUGAACGCUGGCGGCAUGCCUUACACAUGCAAGUCGAACGGCAGCACGGGAGCAAUCCUGGUGGCGAGUGGCGAACGGGUGAGUAAUACAUCGGAACGUGCCCUGUCGUGGGGGAUAACUAGUCGAAAGAUUA
rnacentral:rRNA from 1 species